rnacentral:rRNA from 1 species
GCGGAUGGAAUUUCUUCGGAGAGGAAGCCUGCAUGACUGAGUGGCGGACGGGUGAGUAACGCGUGGGCAACCCGCCCUGCACAGGGGGACAACAGCCGGAAACGGCUGCUAAUACCGCAUGAGCGCACAGCUUCGCAUGGAGCAGUGUGAAAAGCUGCGGCGGUGCAGGAUGGGCCCGCGUCUGAUUAGCUGGUUGGCGGGGCAACGGCCCACCAAGGCGACGAUCAGUAGCCGGCCUGAGAGGGUGGACGGCCACAUUGGGACUGAGACGCGGCCCAGACUCCUACGGGAGGCAGCAGUGGGGAAUACUGCACAAUGGGGGAAACCCUGAUGCAGCGACGCCGCGUGAGCGAAGAAGUAUUUCGGUAUGUAAAGCUCUAUCAGCAGGGAAGAAAUUGACGGUACCUGAGUAAGAAGCUCCGGCUAAAUACGUGCCAGCAGCCGCGGUAAUACGUAUGGAGCAAGCGUUAUCCGGAUUUACUGGGUGUAAAGGGAGCGUAGGCGGCCUGCCAAGUCUGAUGUGAAAUACCGGGGCUCAACCCCGGGGCUGCAUUGGAAACUGGCAGGCUGGAGUGUCGGAGAGGCAGGCGGAAUUCCUAGUGUAGCGGUGAAAUGCGUAGAUAUUAGGAGGAACACCAGUGGCGAAGGCGGCCUGCUGGACGACGACUGACGCUGAGGCUCGAAAGCGUGGGGAGCAAACAGGAUUAGAUACCCUGGUAGUCCACGCCGUAAACGAUGAACACUAGGUGUCGGGGAGCGAAGCUCUCCGGUGCCGCAGCAAACGCAGUAAGUGUUCCACCUGGGGAGUACGUUCGCAAGAAUGAAACUC